AAUAUACCAAAUUUAUCUGCACUAUGGAUCAUUUUGAGCCAACUAUUCAUUCUUUUAAAUUAUAAUUUUACUGCCUAAUCUUUCAAUUUAUUUUAUUUGAGUUGGUCAAUAACAAUUUGACUUUAAAAAUCUAAACUAAUUAUUUACUUUAAUAAAUAUAUAACUAGUCAAAGUGCUCCAACUCACUCUCAAAUCAACAAAAUUAAAAUAAUAAUUCAAAAU
rnacentral:lncRNA from 1 species